CCCAUAGCCAGUGAAACCCAGACAACAGCUGCGGGUUCUGAGGCAGCGGGCGGAGCAGCGCGGGGAGCCCGAGGGGAGCGUGUGUGGGGCGGUAGCUGCCUGAGAUUGUGAGAUGGGGACUGAGAACAAGGAGGUAAUUCCCAAGGAAGAAAUUUCUGAAGAAUCUGAACCACAUGGGGCAAUAUUAGAAAAACUUCCAAAGGUGGUUUAUCAGGGUCACGAGUUUGGAGCAGCAUGUGAAGAAGACAUAUUGGAGGAGCAUUCCAGAGAGUCCACAGAAGAGGUUCUGGAGCAGGUGUCCCCUGAGGAGAGAGACUUUGCAUCAGGGUUGAUUGUCUUUAAGAAAUCACCCUCAAGUGAGAAAGACCAUGAGAAUAAUGAAAGUGAGCGAGCCUACAAUCCUAGCUCAAACCUGAUCACGUACCAGGGAGAUACUACAGCAGAGGCAGUUAGCACAUUUGCUGCUUCUGGCCAAAACUUCAUAGAGAAUUUAGGACCUAAUAAAACACAUAGAAAUUCUCUGGGAGAAAAGGCUCAUACAUGUAAAGAAUGUGGGAAAGCCUUUAAUCAAAACUCACAUCUUAUUCAGCAUAUGAGAGUUCAUAGUGGAGAGAAACCCUUUGAAUGCAAAGAAUGUGGAAAAACAUUUGGAACUAACUCAAGCCUUCGAAGGCACCUGAGAAUUCAUGCUGGAGAGAAGCCCUUUGCUUGUAAUGAAUGUGGAAAGGCCUUCAUUCAGAGUUCACAUCUCAUCCACCAUCACAGAAUUCAUACUGGAGAGAGACCUUAUAAAUGUGAAGAAUGUGGUAAAGCCUUCAGUCAGAAUUCAGCCCUUAUUCUACAUCAGAGAAUCCACACUGGGGAGAAACCAUAUGAAUGUAAUGAAUGUGGGAAGACCUUUAGGGUUAGCUCACAGCUUAUUCAGCAUCAGAGAAUUCAUACUGAAGAAAGAUAUCAUGAAUGCAAUGAGUGUGGCAAAGCCUUCAAGCAUAGCUCAGGCCUCAUUAGACACCAGAAAAUUCAUACUGGAGAAAAACCCUAUCUGUGUAAUGAAUGUGGGAAAGGCUUCGGUCAGAGUUCUGAGCUCAUCCGGCAUCAAAGAAUUCAUACAGGAGACAAACCGUAUGAAUGUAAUGAAUGUGGGAAAACUUUUGGCCAGAACUCAGAGAUUAUUAGACAUAUUAGAAUUCAUACUGGUGAGAAGCCCUACGUAUGUAAGGAAUGCGGGAAGGCCUUUAGGGGAAACUCAGAACUUCUUAGACAUGAGAGAAUUCACACUGGAGAGAAACCCUAUGAAUGCUUUGAGUGUGGAAAGGCUUUUAGGCGGACCUCUCACCUUAUUGUCCACCAGAGAAUUCAUACUGGAGAGAAACCUCAUCAGUGUAAUGAAUGUGCCAGAACCUUUUGGGAUAACUCUGAGCUGCUUCUCCACCAGAAAAUUCACAUUGGAGAGAAACCUUAUGAAUGUAAUGAGUGUGAGAAAACAUUCAGCCAGCAUUCCCAACUUAUCAUACAUCAGAGAAUUCACACUGGAGAGAAGCCUUACGAGUGCCAAGAAUGUCAGAAGACCUUUAGUCGGAGUUCUCACCUCCUCCGACAUCAAAGUGUUCACUGUAUGGAAUGAUCUGCAAAGCAUGAAAGCCUUCUGUGGAAAAGCUAAAGUCAGACUUAUUGUUCUCAGUCUGUACCCCAAGUUCUCAGAUCAAAUGAAUGGACAGAACCUCCUCUGUCCUUUUACUGAUUUUUAUUUAAACAGUUGGUCAAAAAGGUUGAGGCACUUUUAUGAACUAUUCAUUGAGAAGUUUCAGUGUACUGAGUUAAAUCAUAAAAGCUGUUUCAGGCCUUAAUUCUCCACUAUCCCUUUUUCCUUUCCUUCCUCCCUCCCCACUAGUGGAUCACAUAACAUUAGGGGUCUUUACUGGCCAUCUAGCCCAAAUUGUUACUGUUCAGGAAAAAUGGAGGAACAUGAUUCCACCACUUCCUAGGAAUGACAGAGUUGACCCCUCGAAUAUUACCCCUGAAAUGUUAAAGUCAUGGCCUAGAAGACACACCUCUCUCUUUCCCACUGUUUAGCAUUGGAAUUUAGUAAGCUUUUAUUAGCUUCAAAAUCUUCCAAACUUGCUAUCAAGUUCCCUUGGAAGAUGGCAGCAUUAAUGAAGAAGCGGGAAGCUUGGGUCAUUUCCCAUCUCCUGCUAGGCUUCCUUAGUCAUCUGAGAGGGUGCCAUGAUAGAGGAAACUGACAAGCAAUUUAUAGGAUUGUAAGUGAAGGCCCUCAGAAUCCAGAGGGGCUGAUUAGCAAGGCCAGGGGAUAAACAAGUGGGGCCAGACUACUCAGCAUGGGCAGAAGCAGCUCUUUUGCAGCUCUUUCUCAUUUCAGGGCCGUUCAGACUGAGUGCUCCCAAGAACUCUGGGCCUCUGCAUUUACUUUGGGCCCCAGCUUGUGUUGCUGCUGACAGAUCCUGUGUCAGGAAAUAACAAAGAGGACUGCAGCUUCAUUGUCACUAGGCACCUGGCCACGGUGAUGAGCUGGUUCACCUGACUGACCAGGACCCUGCCUUGCCAAAGCACUUAAGCUCAUGACCUGGGCCCCACUGCUGGGGUCCCUGGCUAAUAGGCCAGGAUAUGACAGCCUCUUCUCAAUUUGCCCUUGGCUUUGGAAUUCUCUUUCUUCAGCAUUUCUACAUGUGUUUUCUGUGUUCUCUUACGUGUUUUUUUUUUUUUUUUCUUCAAGGAAACACAUCCUCAAUUUUUCAUGUGUCAAUGUUUCUGAGGCAGUGAAUGGUAGUGGGAAUUGCACUAAUGGGGAUCCAGCUUGCUUGGGGUCUGGUCUUAGAACUAGACCUAGAAUAAGGCACUUCACCUGCUGAUCCCUAAUUUCCUCAUCUGUAAAAUGAGGGGAGUUGAACUAAGUGAUCUCAAGUUUCAACUGGCCCAAUAAUUCCUUUUUUCUUUAAAAAAAAUUUAACUUUAUAUAUCUUCAGUGUUUUAUUCUUUAAUCUCUUUAUUACAGUAAUACUAAUCACUAGUAUUUAUUGAAUUUUUACUAUGUGCCAGGCAGAGUGCCAGACAGUUUACAUUUUUGUUUUCACAGCCUCCCUAUGGUGUGAGUACUCUUUUUUUAAAAACAAACAAAACGGCUUUAUUGAGGUAUAAUUUACAUACCAUAAAAUUCACCUGUUUAAGUGUUCAGUUGAAUGCUUUUUAGUUAAUUUACAGAGUUGCACAACCAUCAGUGAUGUGGGUUCUCUUACACCAAUUUGAAAGGUGAGGGGCAGGGGAGAAGUCAAGUAACUUGCCCAUGAUCACACAGCUGGUAAGUGCUAGAGCCAAGACUCCAGCCCUGAGCUGUGCUCCUAAGCACUGUGUUGUACUGUGAAUAGGUGCAUGCAUUACUGCCUUAUUCGAAAUUCUUUGUACAUUUUCUUAUUCAUUAUUAAUUACUACAUGAAUUUGAAUAUAAUGGAUUUAAAUCAUGUCCUUGGAAACAUAAUUGGUCAUAGCCAAAACCCAUCAAGUGGGUUUAUUCUGUACCCCAAUAUGUGCCCCCACCCCCGGGCUCAUGCUCUUGGCUUGAGAAAAGGGCUGUACAAGUAAAACAGUUGAUGGGGACUUCCUUGGCAGUUCAGUUGUUAAGACUUUGCCUUCCAAUGCAGGGGUGUGGGUUCGAUCCCUGGUCGGGGCGCUAAGAUCCCACAUGCAUCAAGUCCAAAAAACCAAAACAUAAGGCAGAAGCAAUAUUGUAACAAAUACAGUAAAGACAAAAAAAAGUCCAUAUCAAAACAAACAGAAAAAAGUUGAUUACACAGUUUCCACAUCCUUCCAGGUACCUCUGUCUCUAGUAGUUAGACGUUAGUAGAAGUUCUUUAACUCAUCUCUUUCCAUAGGGUGUUUACAAGUGCAGUGUGCUCUCAUUCCUUUUUUCAUCACUCAAGCUCAAAUUGAAUUAUACCCAAACAUAUCUUUCUCAUGUGAAACCUGGAUGUUACUUAUUCCCUUAAAUUCUUAUUCCUGUGUUUGAAUAUUUUAUUUGCACAUUCACCCCUUGCCAGCCCUUAAUAUAGAACUCAGCACCUCUUCAAACUCCCCAGAAAGGAUCCCCUCACAGAAACAUAUCCAUGAGUAAUACGGACUCUACUCAAGAUUCUGGUGUGUAAGAGGUGGAGAAGGGGGUUUAUAUCCUACUAGACAUCUCGUUCUCAGCAGUCCCUUCUUUGCCAAACUGCCACUGAAGGUUUUUCUCUUUGUCCUCCCCUCUCAGGGCUGUCACCUCAGCUCCUUUUUAGGCCCUUCAGUAACAGACCGCUCAUUGGAACACUAGAAGACAAUUUAGUGACCAAUUUUUGUUGUGCCUGAUCAUAUUAAGGGAAGAAGUUCUCACCUCUCAUUCUAAGAAGAAUUUUCCAACAUAUAUUAAUUCUUUCCCAAGAGAAAUUCUGACAGUGUUUUCAUCGGUGGACCCAACUUUGCCGGCACCGACGAACCUCUAAGUCAUCGAAAUCGCUCGUCAUCGAAAUCGCUCGGCCACCACUGCCUCCGGGACCAAGAGACAGAAUUCCCACCUUGGAAUUCAUCAGAAAACUUGUACUGGAGAGGCCCUUGGAAUACCAAUGCGGAAAAGCCUCUGAUCAGAACUCUCACCAGUUUCAGCAUCAGAGCAUCCACAGUGCACAGCGAUCUGGGGAUUUACUCACUGUAGGACACUUUCAUUCCGACCUGAAACUUUGCUCUGAUCUUUCCUCUUCUCUACCGAUGUCACUAGACUGGAAAUGCCCUUUGUGCCAGCUAAUUUUGUCCUGCUCCUUGAGGACAGGGCUACCUUGUUGUAGAAGAGCGUAUCGCAUUCAGCCCAGGGUUGCCACUCAAAUAUUAACCAAUGAAUGACUUAAAUAAAUAAGAGGCCAUAAAUGAUGAAUUGGACAUUUCAAAUUUAAUUAACUGAAUGUAGAAUCAUAAUGCCUUUGCUGUCCUUUAUUUUUCUAUGCAGAUCCUUUAUCCCCUAAAAUGAUGGCCAUGGCAUUAAAGGUCUAUAUCACCCAUCUAAUAUAAAUUAUAUCUCUUUAUGUGAUAUGGGGACACGUAAAAUGUUAAACAUUGAACCAAAACCUUUCUUUAGCUGAGGGAAUUGAUCCACUAUACGAUUUACUCAAAUACAAGAUAGCCACAGAUUGCUUUAAACACACCUCUUCUCCUUGCAACUUUCAGCACUGAAACAAAACAAAACCCAAAUCAGAUACUUCACCUGUACCAUCCUCAAAAUCUUUCUUUCAUAAGAGGCUUUGUUUACUUCUUGAUCUCGUUUCUGUUUUUAUACAUUAUUUCCAUCUUCUUGGAUAUAUUAUAUUUUUUUCUUCAUGUGAGCUAUAUCUUAAAUGUAUUUGCUGGGAUUCAGUAUUCUUACUUUUGCAGCUGCUUCAGCAUCAUCACAGGCUUAUGUUUUCUUCAUAUGUAGUAGUAUGCUCAGGAUAAUCUUGAAAAUUAGUUGUUCUUGUGUGUUUUGUUUUGUUUUGUUGGCUGAGCCACACAGCUUGUGGGAUCUUAGUUCCCUGAGCAGGGGUUGAACCUGGGCCCUCAGCAGUGAAAGCGUGGAGUCCUAACCACUGGAUGGCCAGGGAAUUCCUUGAAAAUUAGUUUUUAAAUGACUUGUUAUUGAAAGGAUUAGAAUCUAUUGCAGGACAAACCAUAUGUUGGGAGCCUCACUAUCUACAGCAGAACCCUGCCAGGCUGGAUGUUCUGUCCGUUGAAUACAGGCAACGCCUCUUUAACUCCUUUCUUUCUUUCUUCCUUCCUUUCUCCCUUCCUUCCUCCUUCCUCCUUUCUUCUUUCCUUCCUUCCUUCCUUUCUCUUUCUUUCCUUCUUUCUUUCUUCCUUCCUUCCCUCCUUCCUUCCCCUCUCUCUCUCUCUCUCUCUCUUUCCUUCCUUCAUUCCUUUCUACAGAAAUUUAUUUUCUCACUGUUCUGGAGGCUACAAAUCCCAGAUUGAGAUGCCAGCCAAUUUGGUUCCUACUGAGAGCUCUCUUCCUGGCUGUGGGUGACCAUGUUCUCAUUAUGUCCUCACAUGGUGGAGGGAGAGGGAGGGAAAGAGGAAAGAAGGAAGAGAGGGAGAGCGGGAGAGCUUCUUUUUCUCUUAAAAUGUUUUCUCAGGUACCUUGGGGAAAAGUGUCCCUUUUUUCUCUCUAUGCCACGUGGACCCGUUCAUUAGCUAGAAAUAAAUUCCAAUUAAGCAAAGAAACAGCAGUAAUGCAGGAAAUGCAAGUGAAUCAAGGAAAAAGUAGCCAUUUGUUUUUAAGGCAAACAACCAAAUAACCAGUGCCACCAGCCUGUAAAGACCCCAAACACACCCAGAAAUCCCUUCAGAAUUCAUCAUGGAUUGUCUAAUCUUGGUUAUUCCCUGAAUUUCAAUUUCCUCAUCCAUAAAGUGGGGAAAAUACCCACGCUUCAAGUUUGUGGGAGUAUAGUACAAAAUGGUAUAUCUGACAGUCCACUGCUUUGUGUAUAGUAGGAGCCCAAUAAAUGCAGUUUCUUUUUCUCUUUUACCCACUUUCUUUCUCCUCUGAUUUACCCCGAGUUAAAGAUGCUUUCCCACAAGCGUUAGAAUUCAAAGAGAAUAAAAAUUGCAUCUUAACCACUACAUUGUACUUAUUUUUAUUUCCUGUUUUUUUUUUCUUUCUGUGUUUUGUCUUAAAUGUACAUUAUUUCAUCUACCUUAAGGACACUAAGUAGCCCUUGUGAGUUGACAUGGGAAUCUAAUUACCAUUAUAACACUGUUUCUUUGUCAGGGCCAAUGUAUUAUGUUUGCAGGUCUACCACAGAAGAUUUCUUCCUUUACAAGUGGGAAUUCCAUUGUGAAGUGCUUAUAGGAAAAGUCAAAACUUCUUUCUACUGCUUAUAAGUUUUAGUUCUUGUUUCUAAAAUGAAAUUCCAUAUCUCAGCCAAUUCUGCUGCCUAUGUAUUUAUUACUGGCUUUAAGCAAUUCGAUUUUGAUAGUACCUUGGUGUGUCUGUCUUCACGUUUCUUCUGCUUUGUGUUUGUUGAAAUUCUUGGAUCUGUAGAUUUAUAGUUUACAGCAAAUUUGGAAAGUUGUUAGCUGUUACUUCUUCAAAUGUUUUUCUGCUUUCCUCUUUCUUCCCCUUGGGACUCUAAUUACACAUGUAUUAGGUUGAUUAAAGUUGUCUCACAACUUA